CAGCACCUUUUUGUAAAUAUUCCAUUUUAAACGAUUGCCUGAAAGAGCUGCAGAGCAUUUCAAAGUUGUAUGGAUUUGCCAGCUUUCAUCCUUGAUGCCUUCUACUGAUUGAUAUCCUACUUGAAUUAAGAUAACUCCAUCCAGCAUGAGAGCACAACUGCACCUUUUUCUCUCCAUGAUCACUGAGGAAAAAGGUGCAACCCUGCACCUUUCAGACUUUGAUAUCCAGGCACUGCGCAACACUCUGCAAGCUGGACAUGAGCAUUAGUGGAACAUAUGUAGACUACACUGAAAAGGCAAUAACUUCCAACACAAACUUCAAGCUUUCAUUGAGAGCAUAGAUUCUAUAGCAACAAAGUAACAGUAAGUUGUUUUUUGUUUGUUUUUCUUUUUUUUGUCAACCAUUUCUUUGUUUGUUUUUAGUAAUAGAAGUCUUGGUGCUGUUUAAUCUAAAUGUAUUCUAGAAAUGCAAUAGAACUGCCAACUAUGGCUGAUUCUGAAAUGGUGUAAAAUAGUUCUUUCUUA
rnacentral:lncRNA from 1 species